GCUCCAGUAGCUCAGCGGUUAGAGCGUGCGAUUGCAGUUACGCACUCUAUCGCAAUGUCCCUUGUUCGAAUCAGGGUUGGAGCU
rfam:Ajellomyces capsulatus NAm1 scaffold_1 genomic scaffold, whole genome shotgun sequence.